rnacentral:rRNA from 1 species
CAUAUCAAUAAGCGGAGGAAAAGAAACCAACAGGGAUUGCCCUAGUAACGGCGAGUGAAGCGGCAACAGCUCAAAUUUGAAAUCUGGCUCUUUUAGAGUCCGAGUUGUAAUUUGCAGAGGGCGCUUUGGCUUUGGCAGCGGUCCAAGUUCCUUGGAACAGGACGUCACAGAGGGUGAGAAUCCCGUACGUGGUCGCUGGCUAUUGCCGUGUAAAGCCCCUUCGACGAGUCGAGUUGUUUGGGAAUGCAGCUCUAAAUGGGAGGUACAUUUCUUCUAAAGCUAAAUAUUGGCCAGAGACCGAUAGCGCACAAGUAGAGUGAUCGAAAGAUGAAAAGCACUUUGGAAAGAGAGUCAAACAGCACGUGAAAUUGUUGAAAGGGAAGCGCUUGCAGCCAGACUUGCUUACAGUUGCUCAUCCGGGUUUCUACCCGGUGCACUCUUCUGUAGGCAGGCCAGCAUCAGUUUGGGCGGUAGGAUAAAGGUCUCUGUCACGUACCUCCUUUCGGGGAGGCCUUAUAGGGGAGACGACAUACUACCAGCCUGGACUGAGGUCCGCGCAUCUGCUAGGAUGCUGGCGUAAUGGCUGUAAGCGGCCCGUCUUGAAACACGGACCAAGGAGUCUAACAUCUAUGCGAGUGUUUGGGUGUCAAGCCCGAGCGCGUAAUGAAAGUGAACGGAGGUGGGAACCCGCAAGGGUGCACCAUCGACCGAUCCUGAUGUCUUCGGAAGGAUUUGAGUAAGAGCAUGGCUGUUGGGACCCGAAAGAUGGUGAACUAUGCUUGAAUAGGGUGAAGCCAGAGGAAACUCUGGUGGAGGCUCGCAGCGGUUCUGACGUGCAAAUCGAUCGUCAAAUUUGGGCAUAGGGGCGAAAGACUAAUCGAACUAUCUAGUAGCUGGUUCCUGCGA